GAACAGAAUAGAAUGUGUGUAUUUGAUGCCAGUAAAUAUUUUAAAGUACAAUUUUUAUGGGAAUCAUCUUUGGGGAGUCAAAUGAGAAAUGUACUUUUU